rnacentral:rRNA from 1 species
AUUGAACGCUGGCGGCAGGCCUAACACAUGCAAGUCGAGCGGAAACGAUCCUAGCUUGCUAGGAGGCGUCGAGCGGCGGACGGGUGAGUAAUGCAUAGGAAUCUGCCCGGUAGUGGGGGAUAACUUGAGGAAACUCAAGCUAAUACCGCAUACGCCCCAAGGGGGAAAGCAGGGGAUCUUCGGACCUUGCGCUAUCGGAUGAGCCUAUGUCGGAUUAGCUAGUUGGUGAGGUAAUGGCUCACCAAGGCCGCGAUCCGUAGCUGGUCUGAGAGGAUGAUCAGCCACAUCGGGACUGAGACACGGCCCGAACUCCUACGGGAGGCAGCAGUGGGGAAUAUUGGACAAUGGGCGAAAGCCUGAUCCAGCCAUGCCGCGUGUGUGAAGAAGGCCUUCGGGUUGUAAAGCACUUUCAGCGAGGAAGAACG